rnacentral:rRNA from 1 species
UUACCAGGUCUUGACAUCCCUGACAACCCGAGAGAUCGGGCGUUCCCCGUUCGGGGGGACAGGGUGACAGGUGGUGCAUGGUUGUCGUCAGCUCGUGUCGUGAGAUGUUGGGUUAAGUCCCGCAACGAGCGCAACCCUCGACCUUAGUUGCCAGCAUUCAGUUGGGCACUCUAAGGUGACUGCCGGCUAAAAGUCGGAGGAAGGUGGGGAUGACGUCAAUCAUCAUGCCCCUUAUGACCUGGGCUACACACGUGCUACAAUGGGCGGUACAAAGGGCAGCGACACAGCGAUGUGGAGCGAAUCCCGAAAAGCCGGUCUCAGUCCGGAUUGGAGUCUGCAACUCGACUCCAUGAAGUUGGAAUCGCUAGUAAUCGCGGAUCAGCACGCCGCGGUGAAUACGUUCCCGGGCCUU